GGGAGGCUACCAGAUUUUGCAGAGCUUCUAAUAUGUUACUCUGCUGUUCAAAAAAUUCUCUUGUGGACUUCUAGCACACUUAAAGUACAAUCCAGAGUUAUCAUGGAUAAUCCAAAGGUCUUAUCAUGGCCUGUAGGACCCUGCAUGAUCUAGCCAUUGACUCUCUGAUCUCAUUUCCUGUCUUUGUUGCUCUUGCUUAGUACACUCCACCACCUACGCUGAUCUUUUAGCCAAGCACACUCUUACUUUAAAGCCUUUGCACUUGUCCUUCCCACUGUAUGGAAACCUCUGGUCCCUCCUCACAUGUUUCUUCUGUAGAGAGACCUUCCCAGGUCAUCCUGUACAAAACCGUAUCUCUGGUCACUUCACUCAAGCCCCUUACCCUAAUUUGUUUUUCAUUAUAGCCCUCACAACUGUCUGACAUGUACAGUAUUGAUUGUUCAACUGUUUACUGUUUGUCUCCUCCAUGAGAAUGUCUGCUUCAUGGGGAGUUUGUUCAUCACAGAUUCUUUGGUACCUGGACUAGUGCCUGACACAUGAAGGGCAAGGAAAAGAAUGAUGGUGGGAGAAAACACAUCUGGUUUGUCCCCCAAAGGCCGCUCUUCAAGAGGAGCUUGAAAAGAUCAAGGUGCACCAUGUCAUAAAUUAAAGGAGCUGUAGCUAAGUUAUUAGGAUAGAAGCCUUGGAUACCACUGUGGAUAUUGGGGGCAUAUUGGUGGUACAGCCAAUCUUACCUUUAGGAUUACCUUGGAUUAUCCUCCAAGUCAGGCAGCAGAGACUGAAGUUUCUGGUGCAAUAGCAAGUACCAGCCUGGUUAAGCACAGAAGGAUGUUUGAAUGCAGUCUUAUUUUAUAUGUGGUCAACUCUCCAGUGAACUAUUUUGGUUGUGACUUUUGCUUCCCUAUACAACUGCAGGAACUCGGAUAAUGAACAAUUAGAAAUAUGUAUCAGUAGGGUGCAGACAAAUAUUUCUAGAGAAAGGAUGAUGACAACACAGAAGGACAGCCCUCAGCUGACCAGUGGUAGACAUACAGCUUGGGUGGAAAAGAAGACCUGGCUUCUUGAGAAACAAAACAAAAUACAAGGAGAAGCAGCCUUGUAAGGAGAUGUGGUGCAGCUUUGGGAGUUAAUAGAAAGUUUUAAGCAUUGGGGCGCCUGGCUGGCUCAGUCGGUUGAGCGUCCGACUUCGCCUCAGGUCAUGAUCUCGUGGUUUGUGAGGUCCAGCCCCACGUCGGGCUCUGUGCUGACAGCUCAGAGCCUGGAGCCUGCUUCGGAUUCUGUGUCUCCUCCUCUCUCUGCCCCUCCCCUGCUCAUGCUCUGUCUCUCUCUGUCUCUCAAUAAUAAAUAAACGUUAAAAAAAAAAAAAAACAAACUUGUAAGCAUUUAAGUCUAAUUAGAUCUUGGAACAUGAAAGAGAAGAUUCACAUGGAAGGAAAAAAAUCCUCCAUAUUGGAAUGGACAAUCUAUUCCGAGGGCAACCAACAGUCUUUUUCCUCUAUGUACUUCAUUGGUUUGGUGGACUCUUUUGACAUAAAGGAAAGGAGCUUCUGGUCACUUAAAAAAUGAGGGAGGGAAACAGAGUCAGCAGGAAUCACUUUGAGAGCCCACUGGGAAUUCUAGGAAGGCAACUUAGCAUGGUCUCUCUGGAAAGUUAUGUGUAGGUAGUUUAAAGACUUAAUAUUAAAGCCACAAGAAAAUCACUUAUAAGCCUGUUCUAAAUCCCUGAAGGGCUGGAGCCAUGUAUAUGAAGUUUAAAACUGUAUAAGACUUAUAAUUAUAAGAUAAAGAUCAGGGCAACUGUUUCUACUUAGGUCUGGGAAACAGAAGCAGGGUUUAAUCAUGCAAUGGCUCAUAGCAGUUGAACAUUAGCAAGAAAGGUACCAGACCAAACCAAGGUGUUAGUACGUCUGAAAAUUUGGCUCUGGCUCAAACUGUGAUUCACUAUAUUUGUAUCAAAUAGCUAUGAAUAUUUUAAAUAUGAUGCUUUAUUAUUUUAACAAAUAUUUUUAUCUAAGUUUUAGAAAUGUAGAGUCAUUUUGGAAGGAGAGUUCUAGCUGAACACCUCUAUUUACUGGAUGGCAGCUACAUAAAAUGCAGCCUGAAAGGUUAAGAAGGAAAAGAGCUCCUGAAGGUCUGGCCUUGUCACCUGAAGCCUAUAAUGUAAGGAGAAAAGUCACAGAAUCAAUGCAAGAGUAGAAAAUUCAUGACUGGAAGCAUUAGGAUGCACAAAGAGGACCAAAUCUAAAGCUCAGUUACAGAGGAAGAACAGGACUGCUGCCACUUUGCAAACAUUUCAAGAGGUCACCCUCUGUGGGGAGGAUGAAGUCAACAAGAUGAAUCUCCUCAGAGUAAUUGCUGGAUAGUGUUGACGAACGCUUGAAUCACGUCAUCGGACUGCAGCUGUACUGACAGCGGACCCCGAGCUGUCCUGCAUACUGUUGCUUUCGCCCUCCUAGGACGCGGCCAGGCCCCUGGAGACCUGGACAGCUGAAGCCGUAGACCCAGAACAUGGUCUCUCCCAUGGCAGAAAACCUGGUUGUGGGCUCUGCUUUGAAAUUCACUCUUGCAACACCAGACCCCCGCCACUGAGCACCAGCCGUAAAUGAAGGCAAAAGCUAGAGUUCAGGCGGAAGCUAAAAGUAAUUACAUGGCCUUGGCUGACCCUUUCAGGGAUAGAUUCUUCCAUUUAUAACAGAGACUAAAACAGAAAAAAACCCAUUGGAGGUGGUCAGGGCUGAAACAGUGUUUCUAGCGUCUUCCGGGUCACCACUCAGUAACUUAUUUCAAAUCGUUUUGAAUGGUGAGUUCUCACAUCCAGGUGUUCCUCUGCCUCACCUGUUGACAAAUGUCCUUACCAGUUUUUAUUCCAUUAGGCCUCAGCAUAGAAAAGUAACAAGCAUCUCAGGCUUCAGGGUUUUGAUUUUCAAAAUGAACAAAAUAAAAAAGAGGCCAACAAAAAAACCCAGACCCUUAAAUGCAGAGAACAGGCUGGUGGUU